AGGGAGAGUGUUGAUUAGAUUUCCAAACGUGGAUCCUCUUAGAAAACAUAUUCAAAGGUUCGUUUCCUAGGGUGGUUUUUUCCACCUUGGUGAUCAAAGCUAAACUCCUAUGGCUCGCCCCAAAGCCAGCCUUGCAGCCCGGGGCUGGGUCACUGCUCACACUUCAGUGUCCCAAACCCCAGCCAGAGGAGACGCUGUCCCUCGAGGCCAGAAGCCACUGGCACUGACCACGCGGAGGGAUGCGGGGGUGGAAGGACUGUCUCCCCACUCCGCACCCCAAAUCCUCAACCCAACUUUGGCCCGAGAGGCAAGAAGCAGACUGGGAGAAAGUUAGGGGUGGGGUAGAGGGUGGAGGAAAAAAAGUUUAAGGAGGGAAGGCUUGGUGGGAUAGCUUCCCCCAACACCCCCAAUCGGAGCCUGGAAAGGGGAGGAUUUGGGAGACUGGAGAAGGCGAGAGAGGAUGGGGUUAUGAGCCGGGCAGAGAGGGGCACCCGGAGCGAACUCCCCCGAAAGCCGAGGGGGGUGGCGUCCUGGGGCACCCGGGGCGAGGAGGGCGGGCGAGGAGCUCGGCGCACCGGGCAGCCCGGCCGGACAGCCCCGAAGCGGAGCCGUUUCUCUUACCUGCCGCCCGCUUGGGUGCCUGCUGUUUCCUCCUUGGCAUCGCUCUACUUCGCUCCAGUCCCACUUCUGGCGCCCCAGCCCCGAGCCGCGCGCGGGGGCCCGCGGUCUCUCUCGCCUCUCUGGGUCUCCUCCGCCUCCUGCCCGGUGGCUCCUAGGGCGUCACUCGGCCUCUGUCCCCCUGACGAUCCCCCCUGCAACUCCUCCACCACGGGCCAGAGACCCCCCUCUCUGGGUGGCAGACACGGACGGCUGUGCCGGCUGGUUGGAAGUAGAGAUAACACCAUUUGCAGUAUAAUUCUCUCCCACGAUCAGCCAUCCAUUUUUGUGAUAUUGAGCCUUCCCCCAGCUUUAGGGGCUGGACUCUGACUGGCUAAAGCCAACAAUCCUAUUCUAUCUCAUCCCUCUGGCUACCAUAGUUUGAUUCAUGAUGGAAGAAACCCAGUCAAAACCAAUAAAAUCUGUGGAGAAGUUUUCUAGGGCUUCUGGGACAAAAGAAGUGUCUCAACUUUUUGAGAUCCACCUGUGGUCUGUGUGGUACGAAGAUACAAAGACAUGAACAACUUUUUUGCUACUAAAACAGAAGACCGUGGAAGUGCCAACAGGAAUUCAUUUGAAGCCUGAAGAAGUAGCUGAUUCUGUGGAAGACAGAGAGGAAAUAUGGAAGGGAACAAAGCUGGUCCUUGAUGGCACUAGAUCAAACUGUACCUGAAGCUAACCCUGCCCCUGGUCUUUUCAGUGAAGCAAAUUUAUCUGUUCCU
rnacentral:lncRNA from 1 species